UACGAAGGGGGCUAGCGUUGCUCGGAAUCACUGGGCGUAAAGCGCACGUAGGCGGAUUGCUAAGUCAGGGGUGAAAUCCUGGAGCUCAACUCCAGAACUGCCUUUGAUACUGGCGAUCUUGAGUCCGGGAGAGGUGAGUGGAACUGCGAGUGUAGAGGUGAAAUUCGUAGAUAUUCGGAAGAACACCAGUGGCGAAGGCGGCUCACUGGCCCGGUACUGACGCUGAGAUACGAAAGCGUGGGUAGCAAACAGG
rnacentral:rRNA from 1 species